AACGCUAGCUACAGGCUUAACACAUGCAAGUCGAGGGGCAGCAUGGUCUUAGCUUGCUAAGGCCGAUGGCGACCGGCGCACGGGUGAGUAACACGUAUCCAACCUGCCGUCUACUCUUGGACAGCCUUCUGAAAGGAAGAUUAAUACAAGAUGGCAUCAUGAGUCCGCAUGUUCACAUGAUUAAAGGUAUUCCGGUAGACGAUGGGGAUGCGUUCCAUUAGAUAGUAGGCGGGGUAACGGCCCACCUAGUCUUCGAUGGAUAGGGGUUCUGAGAGGAAGGUCCCCCACAUUGGAACUGAGACACGGUCCAAACUCCUACGGGAGGCAGCAGUGAGGAAUAUUGGUCAAUGGGCGAGAGCCUGAACCAGCCAAGUAGCGUGCAGGAUGACGGCCCUAUGGGUUGUAAACUGCUUUUAUAAGGGAAUAAAGUGAGCCUCGUGAGGCUUUUUGCAUGUACCUUAUGAAUAAGGACCGGCUAAUUCCGUGCCAGCAGCCGCGGUAAUACGGAAGGUCCGGGCGUUAUCCGGAUUUAUUGGGUUUAAAGGGAGCGUAGGCCGGAGAUUAAGCGUGUUGUGAAAUGUAGAUGCUCAACAUCUGCACUGCAGCGCGAACUGGUUUCCUUGAGUACGCACAAAGUGGGCGGAAUUCGUGGUGUAGCGGUGAAAUGCUUAGAUAUCACGAAGAACUCCGAUUG
rnacentral:rRNA from 1 species